rnacentral:rRNA from 1 species
GACGAACGCUGGCGGCGUGCUUAACACAUGCAAGUCGAACGGAAAGGCCCUGCUUUUGUGGGGUGCUCGAGUGGCGAACGGGUGAGUAACACGUGAGUAACCUGCCCUUGACUUUGGGAUAACUUCAGGAAACUGGGGCUAAUACCGGAUAGGAGCUCCUGCUGCAUGGUGGGGGUUGGAAAGUUUCGGCGGUUGGGGAUGGACUCGCGGCUUAUCAGCUUGUUGGUGGGGUAGUGGCUUACCAAGGCUUUGACGGGUAGCCGGCCUGAGAGGGUGACCGGCCACAUUGGGACUGAGAUACGGCCCAGACUCCUACGGGAGGCAGCAGUGGGGAAUAUUGCACAAUGAGCGGAAGCCUGAUGCAGCAACGCCGCGUGCGGGAUGACGGCCUUCGGGUUGUAAACCGCUUUCGCCUGUGACGAAGCGUGAGUGACGGUAAUGGGUAAAGAAGCACCGGCUAACUACGUGCCAGCAGCCGCGGUGAUACGUAGGGUGCGAGCGUUGUCCGUAUUUAUUGGGCGUAAAGGGCUCGUAGGUGGUUGAUCGCGUCGGAAGUGUAAUCUUGGGGCUUAACCCUGAGCGUGCUUUCGAUACGGGUUGACUUGAGGAAGGUAGGGGAGAAUGGAAUUCCUGGUGGAGCGGUGGAAUGCGCAGAUAUCAGGAGGAACACCAGUGGCGAAGGCGGUUCUCUGGGCCUUUCCUGACGCUGAGGAGCGAAAGCGUGGGGAGCGAACAGGCUUAGAUACCCUGGUAGUCCACGCUGUAAACGGUGGGUACUAGGUGUGGGGUCCAUUCCACGGGUUCCGUGCCGUAGCUAACGCCUUAAGUACCCCGCCUGGGGAGUACGGCCGCAUGGCUAAAACUCAAAGGAAUUGACGGGGCCCCGCACAAGCGGCGGAGCAUGCGGAUUAAUUCGAUGCAACGCGUAGAACCUUACCUGGGUUUGACAUGGAUCGGGAGUGCUCAGAGAUGGGUGUGCCUCUUUUGGGGUCGGUUCACAGGUGGUGCAUGGCUGUCGUCAGCUCGUGUCGUGAGAUGUUGGGUUAAGUCCCGCAACGAGCGCAACCCUUGUUCACUGUUGCCAGCACGUUAUGGUGGGGACUCAGUGGAGACCGCCGGGGUCAACUCGGAGGAAGGUGGGGAUGACGUCAAGUCAUCAUGCCCCUUAUGUCCAGGGCUUCACGCAUGCUACAAUGGCUGGUACAGAGAGUGGCGAGCCUGUGAGGGUGAGCGAAUCUCGGAAAGCCGGUCUCAGUUCGGAUUGGGGUCUGCAACUCGACCUCAUGAAGUCGGAGUCGCUAGUAAUCGCAGAUCAGCAACGCUGCGGUGAAUACGUUCCCGGG